GGACGAUAAGACCCUAUAGAAUUUAAAAAUACUUAUGACAAAACUAUUUUUUUGUUGGGGUGACAGUAAAUAAACUUUUAUGAAAUUUUCAUUGUUGAAUGGAUUAAUGAUCCUAAUAUUUAGAUAAAAAGAUAAAAUUACCUUAGGGAUAACAGCAUAAUUUUUUUUAAAAGAUCUUAUUAAUAAAAAAGAUUAUGACCUCGAUGUUGAAUUAAAAUAAAAUUUUGGUGUAGAAGCUUAAUUUUUUAGUCUGUUCGACUUUAAAUUUUACAUGAUCUGAGUUCAGACCGG
rnacentral:rRNA from 2 species